rfam:Paenibacillus sp. Leaf72 contig_1, whole genome shotgun sequence.
GGAGUCCCAUCAGGAUAAAGCCUAACCAGCAGUCCUGUAGCUAGUUCUUGGAGGCUAAUCGGUAACGGUUGGUUUUAAGCGUAGAACGGCAAUAUAACGGGCCGAAAGCGCAAGCUGAAGUGAUUGAGCCCCGAAAAUACGUGGAGACAGGCCGAUGUAGUUACACAUGCAGAAGGCAGAAUCGGUUCAAGCGAUAAGGUGAGCUUGAACGGGCACUCCGGGGUCUUAGAGCU